AACGAACGCUGGCGGCAGGCCUAACACAUGCAAGUCGAGCGCGCCUUCGGGUGAGCGGCGGACGGGUUAGUAACGCGUGGGAACGUACCCUUCUCUACGGAAUAGCCUUUGGAAACGAAGAGUAAUACCGUAUACGCCCUUUGGGGGAAAGAUUUAUCGGAGAAGGAUCGGCCCGCGUUAGAUUAGAUAGUUGGUGGGGUAACGGCCUACCAAGUCUACGAUCUAUAGCUGGUUUUAGAGGAUGAUCAGCAACACUGGGACUGAGACACGGCCCAGACUCCUACGGGAGGCAGCAGUGGGGAAUCUUAGACAAUGGGCGCAAGCCUGAUCUAGCCAUGCCGCGUGAGUGAUGAAGGCCUUAGGGUCGUAAAGCUCUUUCGCCAGGGAUGAUAAUGACAGUACCUGGUAAAGAAACCCCGGCUAACUCCGUG
rnacentral:rRNA from 1 species